AGCGAGCUCCACCAAUCAAAGACGUCGUGUCCUGAAUUACUAGGCCCACAGACCCACAGUCCUGAAGAGGUAGGCUCUCAAUUAAUUUUAGAUUAAUUUAGGCUAAAUAAACAGGCAUAUUUCUUCAAUCCUUUUUGAAAAACAUGGCCAGCUCCGGCCAGAAGCGUUUGGUCCUUCUUUAAGAGGCCCAUGGUCUGGUCACCCUACUUUGUUAGCAUUUGCUUUCCGUAAGCCAUUACCAGGAUUUCUCGGCUACAUUCGCCGCUGAAUUAUCUGCGUGUUUGUAGACAUAUUUCUGUGUUGUUACUGGCACUCGUUUUGUAUAAGCGACUAUACGGAACACAUUGGAAAUGUUUGGAAAGUAAUUCAAAGUGUACUCCCUUCACAUCAACAGGAGCUAGGCUACUUUCGGCUAACGGAAGGCAAAUGCUAACCUCACGAGCUCCCCUCCUGGGCGCACAAUGAUGAAAUUGGAUUUAAACGACCAUUUGGAAUCUGGCGUGUUGCGGUGACUGCGACUGGAUGCCUUGACUCUCCUCAUGGUUACCCGGCCAGCUCUGUGUUCCUUCUCAAGAUUUCCUCCUUGCUAAUUAAGACCAACUCUGCACGGUCCCCAGGUUUCCUGAUGAGUUCUGAGGGAGUCUGAUGGACUUCAAUACCCAGAGACACCCCUGGAGAAAGACAAGAAGAGACUAGCAUUGUGAACCGCUCUUCAGUAACAUGCUCUAACAUGAAAUAUUGUACAGAGUUUAAACCCAUAAUGCAAAAUGACAUUAAAUAUCCUAUAGUAUACGUUCAUCAAUCUCAUAAUUAUCAUAUAAUAUAAUGGUUGACAAUAUUUCCUAAUGGAUUAUUAAACUGAUUCUAGUUAUUACCUGUGAAGUAAAGUAUACACAGGAGUCUCAUUUCAACUGAUGCUGCCCUUUGCUAUCCAGUAGAAGCUAAGGUAUUGCAAACCAUUGUGUAUGAAGCCAAUAGUUGUGUGAGGCGGUCAGGCGGAGCAGGAAGUGAUGUCCCCAGACACUGGUUGGUAUACCAAUGUUUCGGUAGAGAUAUGGGAGGGAAUUGGCACAUUGCUCUCCUGGGUCUCCUGGGAACAUCUGGCAACCAUUACCAUUUCAUUAGCUUAAGGCAAUAACAUAAUAUAUAUAGGCUAUGUGUCCUUCAAUAAAUAUCGCGAUAAACGCAAUAAUUCUGAUGAUUGAAGUAGAAAUGGUUUCAGUAGGGUAAAUUGCAAUCCGAUCAAAGGUCUGCUAAGUUUCUUGGUUUCAUUGGUUUGUGGAUAUGUUUGAUAUGAAUUCUCAAUUACAAAGACAUUUCAUCUAUUGUUUACUUUAAAAUUACACUGGUGGAAAUUGUUCUUAAACGUCUACUUCAACUAGAGAAAAGACAUACAAGCACACCCACGUACCCCAUUUUAUUUUUAUUUUCAGCCACCAUGUGCCUUGUAUAACAUCUUGCCAAAGGACUACAGUUGAAAAUUAGCCUGCUGGCUAACACUGGCACAUUUACAGAAAUGUUGAUCAAUGUGCACUGUCCUUUAAAUAAAUAAAUAAAUGAAAAAUGAAUGGGUCUACGGUAAAUGCUUUAUCGGCAGUAGUUUGGUCAGUAAGAUCUUCCCUUAAAUAAUAAUGUAAUAUUAUGUUGUUUAUGUCCCAAAGUAAGCUAACCAUGUGGGUUUAGUCACUUGGCUCCAGACUGAAGCAUUUCCCAUAGUGAACCAAAGGUUGUGUGUUGUAAAGUCCCUGUUAGUUGGUCAUAUCGUAUUGCGUAUAUAUAUAUAUAAAAUGUGUAUAUUGUUAUUUCUAUUCAGGCACUUGAGACAGCCCAGGUAGCGCCGUAGGGUCCUAGAGUUUUACUAGGUGCACGGGAUUGCAUAACCCGCCAUGACAGAGAAUGCGUUCGUGAAGAGUGAGUUAAUACUGAACGACGUAUAUUUACGUAUAUUUAUGUAGGAUGAAUGUUGUAUGCAGUCCGCAAUUCUGUUCCAUAUAGUGGCCUUGAUUUUGUGUGUUUGAGCUGGCUUCUGCUAUUGUGUUAGUUGAUUCACUCACUAAUCGAGCAGCUAGUGUAUAAGUCUGCACCGCGUGUAGACAUUGCAUAUGUGUACGUCACUCUGCUGCGCCGUUGUCGGCUGUUAUAUUGUACUGUGUUAACGUGUGUAUGUGGAAGCUAUUCAUGCAAGUUAUGUUUAUAUAGCAUUCAUGGGAUGUUGUUAGUACUAAAGCCCGGUGCUUUAGUAUGUGAAUCUUGUAAUAAUUAUUUGUCUAUUUUCUUACUGUCUUACAGAAAACCAUUCACAUUUAUUUAUUCAUUCCUUCAUUCAUUUGAUUAUUCAUUAAAGCCAUCAUUGAUGUAAUUCGCCUAUUCAAGAUAUAUAAACAACAAAAACUGUGUAUGCGUCUACUCUCUGACCGGAGUUGCCGUCUUGAUAAAGUGGUCCCAGCACACACACGCACAUUCUUCAAUAUUGUGUUUCUGGCACUAAAUGAGAGCGGAGAUCCAGCUGAUGCUAUAGCAGUUGCUGCAGGUGCAGGGAGGUUAAUCAGAUGAAUUAUUAGACAACGAGUUAUUGUACGGUGAACCCCUAAUAUGCUGCAUUGUGGAUACUAGCAGCACAGAAAUACACAGCGCUGCUCUCCAUGCUGAUGUUCUGUAUCGUUAACAUGGCAAUUUGAUCUUUUUCAGCACUCCCACUCAUUGCAACAGCCAUUUCUUUUUCGGGUUUUGCUUCCUUCAAGAAUAUGUACCCCAGGAACUGGAGCUGUUUAUUGUUGCGUUGUUGCUUAUACCAGAGUAUUUGGUUGUAGUCCUCAAUGCUGUGGGAGCAUUUCAGUGUGGCCAUUGCUCUUGACUCAAUGGCCACAACCAUCUCGGGCGGAGUUCGGUGAACCUUGUCGCUAUUAGAUGCACCUAUGGAGAAAAUAAGAACCAAAGAGGCAAAAUUGAAAUGUGGGGACUGGAUACAGUCAUUAGUAUUCAGAUGUGGAGGAUCUGCUUUAGUCGUGGAGAACUAGUCACAAAUGUAACAUUGUAGAAUGUCCAACAAUGAAGCCAAAUAAAGAAGCAUUUAAGGAAAGUACCUGAGACGACCGUAAAUGAAAUUGUUAGAGCGAGGAAUGUGAUUGUCAACAUAUUUGUCUCGUGAUCAGUCGAUGCUAGUUAGCUUGUGACUGAUCCUAAUAAACACAACCCUAAUUCAGUACAUUUCCUAAGUGCGAUAACCUUUCAACUUGCAUCGUUUUGAUGGCAGUGGCUCCUAUUUCCAUCUCGCAACCAUACCGGAACCCAAGUGUGGGAGGAGCCAUUUUGUGUAAAUGUUUAGAAUAGAGGAAGUGAUGCCAUCAGAAUGUCUAACCGUACAGCACUGAUGUUCACCUAGACUCAGUAUUUGCCAUCCAGUCCCCUCCUCCCACUAUUGUAUGAUGUACGUCCUAGCACCUCAUUUGCGCACUUAAUGUAUGUUGUUUUUAUUCAUAGUACCUAAUUGUAUAGCAUCUGCAUUAGCUAGCUCACUGCAACAGCGAAUGGGUUAACCUUGCGAUUGUUAGUACUUGUGCUUGGUUUGUGAAAAUCCUUACUGCACAGACAGUGAUAUAUUGUUUCACUUCUUAUGAAUGUACUUAUUGUAAGUCACUUUGGAUAAAAGUGCCCAAAAUGUAAAUGUAAAUGUAUGGUGGUGACAUUUUUUGUAGAGACUGGAACAGUUGGAUAUAGAAAAAAAUUAUUGCUAACCCUGAAAAGAUCGCUUUCAGUUUUGUUGAGGAAAAUCCCUGUAGUAUGUACAAUAAUGAAGACAAAUCGGACUAAAUCGUGGGAAAGAAGCUGAGACAACCGUAAACUUAAUUAUUUGAAUACAGUAUCUCCUAUUUCCACCUCACAAUCGUACCGAAAUGACAAAUGUGGGAGGAGACAUUUUGUGUAAAUAUUUAGAAGAGAGAAGGUAAUGCUAUCAAAAUGUUAAAAAUGUCAUCCCUGAUCUGUUAAAUUUUCUUUUUUUAUUGUAACUUCAACACAAACCAAUUAAAGAACACCCCCUAGUGCUGGGUAUUUGUAUUUUGUAUCCACCAAAUGUACCCCUCCACACUCCUCCUCCCCUUCCCAGAUUCAACACGUCAGCAGGAAACAGGGUUUUUACCCUCUUGUGGUAACAUAAGGGUUUUUGUAGCAGCGUACGUUGGUUCUUCAUCACAGUGCAUUCUGGCUGCACAGUAAUACUCUCCCGUGUCCUCCGGGCUCCUCGGCUUCAGCAGCUCCAGUCUAGACCACUUCUCUCCAUCCCCGUCGACAGAGAAGAUGCCUGUAAAGUUAGCCUCGAUGGUCAGCUGCUUGUAAUAGACAGUGGCGAUGAGUUCCAGCCGGUUGCUUCCUUGCGAGCGCUGGUACCAGAGGAUGGUGUAAUGGUUGGGGAUUUGAUGCGCGCAGGACAGGUUCACUCCGCGGCUGUUCUGCUCUUCCAGCACGGCUGCUGGAGUCUGGUCCACCUGGUGCUGUUGGGACGCUGCCAAACGAGAAGAUCCAUGAAGUUAUACCUCACACUGAAGAAGCUAGACUUCACAGACAACUCUGUCUAACCAACCCGUUUUUUAGUUUAGAGAACGUAUCUUGUAUAUUCUUGCGUGCCUUCACCUAGACUAAAUCCAUAAUUGGAUUUUGAAUUGAUCUUAUGUGAUUUCAAACUCCAAUUCUAUUUUCUCUCCCCUCCA